rnacentral:rRNA from 1 species
CCCUUAGAUGUUCUGGGCCGCACGCGCGCUACACUGACGAAUGCAACGAGCUUAUAACCUUGGCCGAAAGGUCUGGGUAAUCUCCAAAUUUCGUCGUGAUGGGGAUAGAUUAUUGCAAUUAUUAAUCUUCAACGAGGAAUGCCUAGUAAGCGCAAGUCAUCAGCUUGCGUUGAUUACGUCCCAGCCCUUUGUACACACCGCCCGUCGCUCCUACCGAUUGAAUGGUCCGGUGAAGCGUUCGGACCGUGGCCUUUGGACGGUUCGCCGUCUGUUGGCUGCGGGAAGUUCGUUAAACCUUNUNAUUUAUNGGAAGGAGAANUCGUANCA